AGGGCCUGCAUCGACGGUGCUAGGAGCAAUCAGCAGGCAAGGCACGUAAUUUCGGCUUUGGCUUGGUCCUUGAGUGCAGCAGCAAGGCAACCUCCUCCACGGCACAUGAAGCAGAGCAGACCCACGACGCCUACAAUGUAUUCGAUGGAAUGCCGCACUAGAACAGCAGGCUGGUGCACAACGUGAGGAGCAGACAGCUUGCAGAAGCAGCCACGCGGCCCAAGGUAAUCGCCGCAUAAAGAUGAGUAGCAAAGGAUACAAGCGGCGGCGGCGGCGGCAGCGGAGACCCUCAAAGCACCACUAUCUCCAAGCGGGUCGCGUCCCCCGGCGCCACCGCUGGAGUACGGACAGCUGCCUCUGUGUCUGGACUCGCCACCGCCUCUCUCGCCGACACCAUCACAGCAACCUUCCUGGAGAUGCGCGCACACGCAGAGGAGCGUCAGAUUGAAAUAUACCUUGUGCGUACGUAAUUGUACAGACAUAUGAUCGACGAGCUGAACUCGUACAGAGAUACAC